rnacentral:rRNA from 1 species
GGGCCCGCACAAGCGGUGGAGCAUGUGGUUUAAUUCGAUGCAACGCGAAGAACCUUACCUACCCUUGACAUCCUGCGAAUCUGAUAGAGAUAUCGGAGUGCCUUCGGGAAUGCAGAGACAGGUGCUGCAUGGCUGUCGUCAGCUCGUGUUGUGAAAUGUUGGGUUAAGUCCCGUAACGAGCGCAACCCUUGUCCUUAGUUGCCAGCGAUUCGGUCGGGGACUCUAAGGAGACUGCCGGUGACAAACCGGAGGAAGGUGGGGACGACGUCAAGUCAUCAUGGCCCUUACGGGUAGGGCUACACACGUGCUACAAUGGUUGGUACAGAGGGAAGCGAGACCGCGAGGUGGAG